rnacentral:rRNA from 1 species
UACGGAGGAUGCAAGCGUUAUCCGGAAUGAUUGGGCGUAAAGAGUCCGUAGGUGGUGAUUCAAGUCGAUUGUUAAAGAGCGGGGCUUAACCCCGUAGAAGCAGUGGAAACUGAAUCACUAGAGAGAGGUAGGGGUAGAGGGAAUUCCCGGUGUAGCGGUGAAAUGCGUAGAGAUGUGGAGGAACACCGAUGGCGAAGGCAGCCCCCUGGGCUAACACUGACGCUCAUGCACGAAAGCGUGGGGAUCGAAACAGGAUUA